rnacentral:rRNA from 1 species
CUUUGAUUAUGGCUCAGGAUGAACGCUGGCGGCGUGCCUAAGACAUGCAAGUCGAACGAGACGACCUUUGGAAGACCGAAGUGCUUGCACUGAAGUAAGAAGAAGAUCAUCGUCUAGUGGCAGACGGGUGAGUAACACGUGGGUGACCUACCUUUAAGCUGGGGAUAACAGUUGGAAACGACUGAUAAUACCGAAUAAGAUAUUCGCAUUGAAAGAAGCCUUUAAAGCUUCACUUAAAGAUGGGCCUGCGGCGUAUUAACUAGUUGGUGAGGUAAUGGCUCACCAAGGUAACGAUGCGUAGCCGAACUGAGAGGUUGAACGGCCACACUGGGACUGAGACACGGCCCAGACUCCUACGGGAGACAGCAGUUAGGAAUAUUCGUCAAUGGGGGAAACCCUGAACGAGCAAUGCCGCGUGAGUGAUGAAGGCCCUAUGGGUUGUAAAACUCUGUUGUAUGGGAAGAACGGCCAUAUGAGGAAAUGCAUAUGGAGUGACGGUACCAUGCCAGAAAGCCCCGGCUAACUACGUGCCAGCAGCCGCGGUAAUACGUAGGGAGCGAGCGUUAUCCGGAUUUAUUGGGCGUAAAGCGUGCGUAGGCGGUUUAUUAAGUUUAAGAUAAAAGCCCGGGGCUCAACUCCGGUUCGUCUUAAAAACUGGUAGACUUGAGUGUGGUAGAGGUAAAUGGAAUUUCUAGUGUAGCGGUGAAAUGCGUAGAUAUUAGAAGGAACAA